GAAAGAAGGGAAAAAAAAUUAAGAGAGGAAAAAUUGGCAUAGCUAGGAAUUUCAUCCCUUGAAAUCUUGUUUCAAAAAGUAUUUCUUCUAGUAUUCCAAGCAAGUUGAAGGCCCUAAUCAACAUAGAGUGAUUGUUGGAACAAGAAGACUAUUCAUUCUUGCAAGGCACAAUUCUAGCCAAGUUGAAAAACUAAGUGGAAAAGAUUUUGGAAAGGCCAAGAGUUAAGUGGGGUGACUAAGGAAGCGGACAAGGUACACCCAGAUGAGAAAAAGCUAUUGUAGAAGAUGUUCCAGCAGGGUUAGCAACUCCACUUGUUCCUGGAGUGCGGCCGAGUCAGAGUAUAUGCGAUAUGAUGUUUCGUUCAAAGUUAGAGACUUUGCAGACAGAGUCGUGCGUAUAGAGUGUCAGCUUUGUAAGCGGCGUCACCAGCCGAUAUGUUAUCAUGUCGUAUGUCACGAGUUUUAUGGGAUGAUAGAUUUCGAAAAAAUAAUAAUUUGGGAAGCUUAGUUAUGUUUUUUUUUAUUUCUUAUUGAUGUAAAAGUCUAAGGAGAUUAAGUAUGUACUAUGAAACAGCGGGUUCGCUCGGCUUCAAGCAUGGGGUCGGU